ACGCCUAACACAUGCAAGUCGAACGAAGUAGCAAUACUUAGUGGCAGACGGGUGAGUAACAUGUAGGUAUCUGCCCUUUGGCCUGGAAUAACACGAGGAAACUUGUGCUAAUACCGGAUAAGUCUUCACGGAGAAAGCUUUAUGCACCAUUGGAUGAGCCUGCACUUGAUUAGUUUGUUGGUAGGGUAAUGGCCUACCAAGGCUUUGAUCAAUAGCUGAUUUGAGAGGAUGAUCAGCCACAUUGGGACUGAGACACGGCCCAAACUCCUACGGGAGGCAGCAGUGGGGAAUCUUGCACAAUGGAGGAAACUCUGAUGCAGCGAUGCCGCGUGAGUGAAGAAGGCCCUUGGGUUGUAAAGCUCUUUCGUCGGGGAAGAAAAUGACUGUACCCGAAUAAGAAGGUCCGGCUAACUUCGUGCCAGCAGCCGCGGUAAUACGAAGGGACCUAGCGUAGUUCGGAAUUACUGGGCUUAAAGAGUUCGUAGGUGGUUGAAAAAGUUGGUGGUGAAAUCCCAGAGCUUAACUCUGGAACUGCCAUCAAAACUUUUCAGCUAGAGUUUGAUAGAGGAAAGCAGAAUUUCUAGUGUAGAGGUGAAAUUCGUAGAUAUUAGAAAGAAUACCAAUUGCGAAGGCAGCUUUCUGGAUCAUUACUGACACUGAGGAACGAAAGCAUGGGUAGCGAAGAGGAUUAGAUACCCUCGUAGUCCAUGCCGUAAACGAUGUGUGUUAGACGUUGGAAAUUUAUUUUCAGUGUCGCAGCGAAAGCGAUAAACACACCGCCUGGGGAGUACGA
rnacentral:rRNA from 1 species